AUUUAGUAAUCUCUAAUAGGUUUUUCAGUUAUGGUGCUAAAUAUCUAAUGCAUUUUCAUUUAUUUUUUAUUGCAAGGUUUUAACAAUAAUGGCAAUUUGCUACUGUGGAUAUUUAUGUUAAAGACCUCAAGAUUAUAUUUAUUAAUUCAGUUAAACAACAUGAUAAAAAAUACAUGGUUGCUUCAGUGGAUGUUGAUUUUUUUCAUAUCAAGAUUAAACCGAUAUCAUUGGAUGUGGUUUCCUUUGCGUACUAAAGAAUCGACUCUUUCUAUCUAUGGAUGUCACAGUUUUGUUUGCUUCAAAAUCUAGGCUUUUUUCAAAGCCACAA